CCUACGGGUGGCAGCAGUGGGGAAUAUUGCACAAUGGGCGGAACCCUGAUCCAGCGACGCAGCGUGCGUGAAGACGGAUUUAGGUAUGUAAAGCUCUAUCAGCAGGGAAGAAAAUGACGGUACCUGAUGAAGAAGCCCCGGCUAACUACGUGCCAGCAGCCGCGGUAAUGCGUAGGGGGCACGCGUUAUCCGGAUUUACUGGGUGUAAAGGGAGCGUAGACGGCAGGACAAGUCUGGAGUGAAAUGCCGGGGCUUAACCCCGGGACUGCUUUGGAAACUGUGUAACUGGAGUACAGGAGGGGCAGGCGGAAUUCCUGGUGUAGCGGUGAAAGGCGUAGAUAUCAGGAGGAACACCGGCGGCGAAGGCGGCCUGCUGGACUGAAACUGACGUUGAGGCUCGAAAGCGUGGGGAGCAAACAGGAUUAGAUACCCUUGUAGUC
rnacentral:rRNA from 1 species